AAAAAACACCCAAACCGUUAUGCGUCUGGUCCGAACUUUACUUCAGGUUUCUGUUUGUUUAGUGGUCUGACGAGUUGCUGAAAUUGAACUCUUAAGAAAAUACCUCGCCGAAAAUAACAAAUGUUUUGGUUUCCUAUGUGUUGUUUAUUUUGGGUGCCAGCGUGAUGAGACGUCAUGCUCGGCUAGAUUCACCUGGAACUCGUGCUUCUUGGGUUGCAGAGCCGUGCGCAAAGUUACAAAAUUUGAUGUGCACACCGCCAAGCGAAACGGGGUCUCGCGCACUCAACGCGCACUACCGCCCACUCCGCGUUGACGUCAUUUACAAGUACAAUGCUUAAAGCUACACUGAAGUUGGCAGUUUGAUAAAUGCAAGUUAAUUCUUCAGUUUAAUUUUUGUGUGCUUCAAGUUAAAUUUUUGUGUGUUAAAAGGCACAUAAGUUCCAGUAGAGAUAGCAAGCGGGCCGCACAAGCCCUGAAAAGUGAAGCCAAAACGUUUAUAUCGCCCCCAGUGACUGGUCCCAGUAUAGGUCACAAACCCCGCCUCCCCAUGUUAUUCAAUAAACAAUUUAAUUACACUUCAAUCAUCUUUUUUCCGAAGCUGGUUUCUGUCAUUUACUGUAGUUUUUAUCACGCUGAUGUAAAUUCAAGUCUUCGAUUUUAAAUAAGUUUGUUUUUAGUUAGUUAUUUAAAACUGUAAAAAUGGUGGGGUCAUGUCAUGAUUGACAGCUGUGAUAUGCGCAUUCUGCGAGGGCGGGGCCUUGAUUUCGCGGCUUUACUUCCUGCUCACUACUGCGCAGGACUGGUCCCGAAAUCGCUACUGUGCAGACUCAAGACCCAAGAUGUCAGCGCCGUAUCGGGACACUGACGGCUUCACUUUUUACCAAUGGAAGAGAGCGAACGGGCGUCGUCCAUCUUUUUUUACAGUCCUUGCAAGGAACAGAAACUGUCAAGUCAAAUUCAGUUUGUGCAUGAUUACAUGAUAUAACAAUUUUGUUAACACUGUAUCCUAAAUUAUGGAUAAUUAAGUAGGGAUGCACGAUAUAUCGGCCGACAUAUCGUUAUCGGCCGAUAACUGCUUAUUUUUAAUAUUAUCGGUUAUCGGUCUGAUAGCAAAAUUAGGCCGAUAAAUGAAAGCUGAUAAAUUAUGGAUUAUUUUGGUUUGUUGAACCACUUCACUUGCUCAUUGCUGGCCAUGUGGAGUUUUGAUUGGUGCUUUCUGUGACAUAGCACGAAGAUGACACGUGUUGCGGGCUUAAGAAGAGUAUGCUAGUCUAGCGCAAAGACAAGAUGUCCGCGGUCUGGGAGUUUUUCAUUGUGAAAAUAAUA